CAGCCGCCGCGGUAAUACAGAGAGUGCGAGCGUUAAUCGGAUUUACUGGGCGUAAAGCGUGCGUAGGCGGCUUCUUAAGUCGGAUGUGAAAUCCCUGAGCUUAACUUAGGAAUUGCAUUCGAUACUGGGAAGCUAGAGUAUGGGAGAGGAUGGUAGAAUUCCAGGUGUAGCGGUGAAAUGCGUAGAGAUCUGGAGGAAUACCGAUGGCGAAGGCAGCCAUCUGGCCUAAUACUGACGCUGAGGUACGAAAGCAUGGGGAGCAAACAGGAUUAGAUACCCCAGUAGUCCCUGUCUCUUAUAC
rnacentral:rRNA from 1 species